rnacentral:rRNA from 1 species
UACGAAGGGGGCUAGCGUUGUUCGGAAUUACUGGGCGUAAAGCGCACGUAGGCGGAUAUUUAAGUCAGGGGUGAGAUCCCAGAGCUCAACUCUGGAACUGCCUUUGAUACUGGGUAUCUUGAGUAUGGAAGAGGUAAGUGGAAUUCCGAGUGUAGAGGUGAAAUUCGUAGAUAUUCGGAGGAACACCAGUGGCGAAGGCGGCUUACUGGUCCAUUACUGACGCUGAGGUGCGAAAGCGUGGGGAGCAAACAGG